UAAAAUCACCUACAUUGGCUUAUCUAUCUUUAUAAUUUUAAAUAACUAUGAACAAUGAUUAUCUAUCUUUGAAGAUGUCAUUUUCCUUUUUCAAACAUUAUUUUUAUUAUUUCUUUUUUCUCUCUCAUCGGAACGGCACAUCCCGAGGACACCGAACGGCUCUUUCUUCCACUUUGGUUUUUCUUUCUCUCCUUUCUUUUCAUUUCUCUCUUCACCGUCGUUUCUCCUUCUUCCCCAAUGGCUCUCAUUGCUCACGGCACGGCCCCCACAUUGUUUCUCUCUCUUGUUGCUCCCGACUGGAUUUCUACUCUUCACGGCUGGAACUGCUCUUCACGGCUCUAUUCUUCACGGUUUUCUCUGCUUUGGAUUCAUCACCAACACAAAUCCAUCAACAACACAACCCGAAAGUCCUAGCUUUUGCUAUGGAGAGCUGUGGAGCUGAAUGAUGUUGUGGAGCUGAAUGAGAUUUAUGUACUUGUGGUUGUUGCUCUGGAGCUGCUGUGGAGCUGAAUGGUGCUGUCGUGGAGCUGUUGUGGAGCUGUUGUGGAGCUGCCAAGUUGUAUUAAAAUCAACUUUGUGGAUUUUCCAUUAAGUUGAUUUUGAUACAUGGGAUUUAUUUAAAUUUGUAUGGAGGUUUUUUUGGUUAGAAGUUGAAUUUAUAUGGCAUAUAUUUUGCAAACACUAAAUUUGUAUGGAAUAGAUAUGUCCAAGUUGUGAAUUUGUAUGAACACAGAAAUCAUAUAGAGCUGCUGUGGAUUUUUCUGUGUUGCUUCAAAUAUGUGAAAUUUGUAUGGUAUUUUGUAAACACUGAAUUUGUAUGGAGUAGAAUUUUCCAAGUUAUGAAUUUGUAUGAAA